rnacentral:rRNA from 1 species
AUUGAACGCUGGCGGUAUGCUUAACACAUGCAAGUCGAACGGUAACAUGAUUAGCUUGCUAAUUGAUGACGAGUGGCGGACGGGUGAGUAACGCGUAGGAAUUUACCUUUCGGUGGGGGAUAGCCCGGUGAAAACCGGAUUAAUACCGCAUAAGCCCUACGGGGGAAACGAGGCCACUUCUUGAAAGCUUCGACCGAUAGAUGAGCCUGUGUUAGAUUAGCUAGUUGGUAAGGUAAUGGCUUACCAAGGCGACGAUCUAUAGCUGGUCUGAGAGGAUGAUCAGCCACACUGGGACUGAGACACGGCCCAGACUCCUACGGGAGGCAGCAGUGGGGAAUAUUGGACAAUGGGCGCAAGCCUGAUCCAGCAAUACCGCGUGUGUGAAGAAGGCUUUCGGGUCGUAAAGCACUUUCAGUAGGGAGGAAAGGGUUGUAGUUAAUACCUGCAAUCUGUGACGUACCUACAGAAGAAG